CACGGUAGGGCGCAAGCGUUGUCCGGAAUUAUUGGGCGUAAGAGCGCGUAGGCGGCGUAACAAGUCAACUUGUGAAAUCUCCGGGCUUAACCCGGAGCGGCCAAGUGAUACUGUUGUGGCUAGAGUGCGGAAGGGGCAACUGGAAAUUCUCGGUGUAGCGGUGAAAUGCGUAGAUAUCGAGAGGAACACCUGCGGCGAAGGCGGGUUGCUGGGCUGAUAACUGACGCUGGAGGCGCGGAAAAGCCCAGGGGAGGCGAAACGGGG
rnacentral:rRNA from 1 species